rnacentral:rRNA from 1 species
ACACAAAAAUGCACAUGCUGUGAGCUCGAUGAGUAGGGCGGGACACGUGGUAUCCUGUCUGAAUAUGGGGGGACCAUCCUCCAAGGCUAAAUACUCCUGACUGACCGAUAGUGAACCAGUACCGUGAGGGAAAGGCGAAAAGAACCCCGGCGAGGGGAGUGAAAAAGAACCUGAAACCGUGUACGUACAAGCAGUGGGAGCACGCUUAGGCGUGUGACUGCGUACCUUUUGUAUAAUGGGUCAGCGACUUAUAUUCUGUAGCAAGGUUAACCGAAUAGGGGAGCCGAAGGGAAACCGAGUCUUAACUGGGCGUUAAGUUGCAGGGUAUAGACCCGAAACCCGGUGAUCUAGCCAUGGGCAGGUUGAAGGUUGGGUAACACUAACUGGAGGACCGAACCGACUAAUGUUGAAAAAUUAGCGGAUGACUUGUGGCUGGGGGUGAAAGGCCAAUCAAACCGGGAGAUAGCUGGUUCUCCCCGAAAGCUAUUUAGGUAGCGCCUCGUGAAUUCAUCUCCGGGGGUAGAGCACUGUUUCGGCAAGGGGGUCAUCCCGACUUACCAACCCGAUGCAAACUGCGAAUACCGGAGAAUGUUAUCACGGGAGACACACGGCGGGUGCUAACGUCCGUCGUGAAGAGGGAAACAACCCAGACCGCCAGCUAAGGUCCCAAAGUCAUGGUUAAGUGGGAAACGAUGUGGGAAGGCCCAGACAGCCAGGAUGUUGGCUUAGAAGCAGCCAUCAUUUAAAGAAAGCGUAAUAGCUCACUGGUCGAGUCGGCCUGCGCGGAAGAUGUAACGGGGCUAAACCAUGCACCGAAGCUGCGGCAGCGACGCUUAUGCGUUGUUGGGUAGGGGAGCGUUCUGUAAGCCUGUGAAGGUGUACUGUGAGGUAUGCUGGAGGUAUCAGAAGUGCGAAUGCUGACAUAAGUAACGAUAAAGCGGGUGAAAAGCCCGCUCGCCGGAAGACCAAGGGUUCCUGUCCAACGUUAAUCGGGGCAGGGUGAGUCGACCCCUAAGGCGAGGCCGAAAGGCGUAGUCGAUGGGAAACAGGUUAAUAUUCCUGUACUUGGUGUUACUGCGAAGGGGGGACGGAGAAGGCUAUGUUGGCCGGGCGACGGUUGUCCCGGUUUAAGCGUGUAGGCUGGUUUUCCAGGCAAAUCCGGAAAAUCAAGGCUGAGGCGUGAUGACGAGGCACUACGGUGCUGAAGCAACAAAUGCCCUGCUUCCAGGAAAAGCCUCUAAGCAUCAGGUAACAUCAAAUCGUACCCCAAACCGACACAGGUGGUCAGGUAGAGAAUACCAAGGCGCUUGAGAGAACUCGGGUGAAGGAACUAGGCAAAAUGGUGCCGUAACUUCGGGAGAAGGCACGCUGAUAUGUAGGUGAAGUCCCUCGCGGAUGGAGCUGAAAUCAGUCGAAGAUACCAGCUGGCUGCAACUGUUUAUUAAAAACACAGCACUGUGCAAACACGAAAGUGGACGUAUACGGUGUGACGCCUGCCCGGUGC